GUUGACAGUAGCUACAGCUUGUCGUUUCCCCUCCCGGUUCCUUCGGCUUGUUUUAUUAAGUGGAUUCUAAGACUGCUCACCUCUCAGCUAAACGGCGGUUUAUAUGAAUACCCGUGGCUGUGAAGGGAUAAUAGAGCACAUUGUCCUUUCCCGGAUUCUCCGUCUCGUUCAUGGCAAUCGGUUUGUUUCUGCUGUCGCUAUAGUUACAGCCCUGUCGGCUUCUCCUCUGCCAUACUGCGAGAACGCCGUAUCGUCCAACUAAUCGAGGAG